rnacentral:rRNA from 1 species
UACGGAAGGCAGCAGUGGGGAAUAUUGCACAAUGGGCGCAAGCCUGAUGCAGCCAUGCCGCGUGUAUGAAGAAGGCCUUCGGGUUGUAAAGUACUUUCAGUCGUGAGGAAGGUGUUAAGGUUAAUAACCUUAGCAAUUGACGUUAGCGACAGAAGAAGCACCGGCUAACUCCGUGCCAGCAGCCGCGGUAAUACGGAGGGUGCGAGCGUUAAUCGGAAUUACUGGGCGUAAAGGGCACGCAGGCGGUUAAUUAAGUUGGAUGUGAAAUCCCCGGGCUUAACCUGGGAAUGGCAUUCAAGACUGGUUAGCUAGAGUCUUGUAGAGGGGGUAGAAUUCCAUGUGUAGCGGUGAAAUGCGUAGAGAUGUGGAGGAAUACCGGUGGCGAAGGCGGCCCCUGGGACAAAGGACUGACGCUCAUGUGCGAAAGCGUGGGGAGCAAACAGGGAUUAGAUACC